rnacentral:rRNA from 1 species
GAGUGAAGAGGGAAGAGCUCAAAUUUAAAAUCUGGCAGUUUUUUGCUGUCCGAGUUGUAAUCUAGAGAAGUGCUGCCCGUGCUGGACCAUGUACAAGUCUCCUGGAAUGGAGCGUCACAGAGGGUGAGAAUCCCGUCUUUGACAUGGACUGCCAGUACAUUUGUGGUGUGCUCUCAAAGAGUCGAGUUGUUUGGGAAUGCAGCUCUAAAUGGGUGGUAAACUCCAUCUAAAGCUAAAUAUUGGCGAGAGACCGAUAGUGAACAAGUACCGUGAGGGAAAGAUGAAAAGAACUUUGGAAAGAGAGUUAAACAGUAUGUGAAAUUGUUGAAAGGGAAACGCUUAAAGUCAGUCGUGUCGGCCAGGGAUCAACCCAGUUUUAUUCUGCUGGGUGUAUUUCCUGAUCUGAUGGGCCAACAUCAGUUUUGACUGCUGGAGAAGGAUAGGGGGAAUGUGGCACCUUUGGGUGUGUUAUAGCUCUCUGUUAUAUGCAGUGGUUGGGACUGAGGAAAGCAGCAUGCCGCAAGGCCAGGUUUCGACCAUGUUCAUGCUGAGGAUGUUGGCAUAAUGGCUUUAAUCGACCCGUCUUGAAACACGGACCAAGGAGUCUAACAUGCCUGCGAGUGUUUGGGUGGCAAACCCGAGUGCAGAAUGAAAGUGAAAGGUUGAGAUCCCUGUCAUGGGGAGCAUCGAUGCCCGGACCUGAGCUUUUAGCAAAGGAUCUGCGGUAGAGCAUGUAUGUUAGGACCCGAAAGAUGGUGAACUAUGCCUGAAUAGGGUGAAGCCAGAGGAAACUCUGGUGGAGGCUCGUAGCGAUUCUGACGUGCAAAUCGAUCGUCG